rnacentral:rRNA from 1 species
GUAACAAGGUCUCCGUUGGUGAACCAGCGGAGGGAUCAUUACAGAGUUCUAAAAGACUCCCAAAACCAUUGUGAACGUACCCGUCAGCGUUGCCUCGGCGGGCGGCCCCUCCCUGGGGCCGCUGCCUCCCUCGGGGGGUGCCCGCCGGCGUACCAAAACUCUUUUGUAUUUUAGUGGCCUCUCUGAGAAAACAAGCAAAUAAGUUAAAACUUUCAACAACGGAUCUCUUGGUUCUGGCAUCGAUGAAGAACGCAGCGAAAUGCGAUAAGUAAUGUGAAUUGCAGAAUUCAGUGAAUCAUCGAAUCUUUGAACGCACAUUGCGCCCGCCAGUACUCUGGCGGGCAUGCCUGUUCGAGCGUCAUUUCAACCCUCAAGCCCUGCUUGGUGUUGGGGUCCUACGGCUGCCGUAGGCCCUGAAAGCUAGUGGCGGGCUCGCUAUAACUCCGAGCGUAGUAGUAAAAUAUCUCGCUAGGGAGGUGUCGCGGGUUCCGGCCGUGAAAGCCCAUCUUUUACACAAGGUUGACCUCGGAUCAGGUAGGAAUACCCGCUGAACUUA